rnacentral:rRNA from 1 species
AGCGAACGCUGGCGGCAGGCCUAACACAUGCAAGUCGAACGAACUCUUCGGAGUUAGUGGCGGACGGGUGAGUAACCCGUGGGAACGUGCCUUUUGGUUCGGAAUAACUCAGGGAAACUUGUGCUAAUACCGAAUGUGCCCUUCGGGGGAAAGAUUUAUCGCCAUUAGAGCGGCCCGCGUCUGAUUAGCUAGUUGGUGAGGUAACGGCUCACCAAGGCGACGAUCAGUAGCUGGUCUGAGAGGAUGACCAGCCACACUGGGACUGAGACACGGCCCAGACUCCUACGGGAGGCAGCAGUGGGGAAUCUUGCGCAAUGGGCGAAAGCCUGACGCAGCCAUGCCGCGUGAAUGAUGAAGGUCUUAGGAUUGUAAAAUUCUUUCACCGGGGACGAUAAUGACGGUACCCGGAGAAGAAGCCCCGGCUAACUUCGUG